AUUGCCUACGGGGGGCAGCAGUGGGGAAUAUUGCACAAUGGGGGAAACCCUGAUGCAGCGACGCCGCGUGGAGGAAGAAGGUCUUCGGAUUGUAAACUCCUGUCCUUGGGGACGAUAAUGACGGUACCCAAGGAGGAAGCACCGGCUAACUACGUGCCAGCAGCCGCGGUAAAACGUAGGGUGCAAGCGUUGUCCGGAAUUACUGGGUGUAAAGGGAGCGCAGGCGGAUUGACAAGUUGGGAGUGAAAACUACCGGCUCAACUGGUAGUCGCACUCAAAACUGCAGCUCUUGAGUGAAGUAGAGG
rnacentral:rRNA from 1 species